rnacentral:rRNA from 1 species
AUGUGUGUACCAAAAAAGAAUUGAGGCAUGGGGUUUAGGGACUUGCAUGUUUUUAAUCUCAUGGUAGCGAAGCAAAGUUGGAGGUUGAUCACAAAACCAAAUUCUUUGUGUGCGACUGUUCUCAGAGCUAAGUAUUACCCCGAUGGCAAUUUAUUGAAAGCAGGUCCGACGAAGUCCUCUUUUACUUGGCAAAGCAUAAUUGUUGGGCUUUGUACGUUUAUGAGAGGACACAUAUGGAGAGUUGGUACUGUAGCCAAUAUCAACAUAUGGGAUGACCAUUGGGUGCCUAGCAGUCCGAACAGGAAAGUAAUAACUGUGAGAGGACAAAGACUUCCCCCAAAUGUAGAUGAUUUAAUUGAUCCCUUUACAUGACCGUGGGAUGAGGCUUUGAUUAGAGAUAAUUUUAUUUGGGUGGAUGUGGAAAGAAUUUUAUAAAUCCCUUUGAGCCCAAACAUGACUGAAGAUUUUGUGGCAUGGCAGUAUACGAAGUCGUUCUCGUUCUCGGUCCGAUCAACUUAUUAUGUGGAAUGAGAACAUCAAUUUGGUGCUCAAACUAGGCGGGAUGAUGGCCAAGGAGUUAUGAAUGCAAACCUGGUAUGGGAUAUUUUGUGGAAGUUACAAAUUCCAAGCAAGGUGAAAACUUUCGCCUGGCGUGCUUUACAUGGUAUUUUCCCGGGGAUGUCAAUCUUAGCAAACAGCCACAUCAAGGUACAGCCUCACCGCCCAGUAUGCAAGCAAGGCGAAGAUAUGCGGCGUCUGAUGUUUACAUGUGAAAGAUCAACAGAAGUAUGGAAGAAAAUGAGGUUGCAUGAAAUAGUAGGUGAGGUCAUUCAUAUUGACAGGUCAGGUAGUGUGAUCCUUGCAGAAUUACUCACACAGCUGGCGAGACAGUCACCUGUUCUCGGUAGGUUGGGAUUCCGGGAGUCUUUGGUGGUCGGGGCACGGUAUAUAUGGUGGCAGCGACGAGAAUUUGUUAAGGGCAAAAAUGUCCAAAAUCCUUCAAUUACUGUGUUCGCUAUCCAAGUGAUCACAAGUAACUUCUCUCGAGUUACGGAUCAGAAUAAAUAG